AUGAAUGAUGAGAGGAAGGUGCAUUGGAUAUCAUGGGAUAAUAUGUGUGCUUCAAAGAGACAAGGAGGGCUUGCUUUUCGUGACCCUGAAUCAUUCAAUCAAGCUCUCUUGGCCAAGAAAGCGCGGAGGAUUUUAACUUUACCUCAUUCUUUGUGUGGUAGGGUGCUCAAAGCACGUUAUUUUGAGGACUUGAUUUUGUCGGCCACUUGUCCAUCUAAUGCUUCCUACACUUUCCGUAGUAUUUUGCAUGGAAGGUACUUAUCGAGGGAAGGUCUAGUGUGGAGAUUUGGUGAUGGAUAA
rnacentral:rRNA from 1 species